rnacentral:rRNA from 1 species
GACGAACGCUGGCGGCGUGCCUAAUACAUGCAAGUUGAGCGCUCAAGCUUGGUGCUUGUUCCAACUGUAUUAGCAGCGGACGGGUGAGUAACACGUGGAGAAUUUGCCUUUGAGCGUGGGACAACUUCUGGAAACGAAUGCUAAUACCGCAUAAUAACUUUAACCACAAGUUUUAAGUUUGAAAGAUGCUAUUGCAUCACUCAAUAGUUAUCCCGCGUUGUAUUAGCUAGUUGGUUAGGUAAAGGCUUACCAAGGCCACGAUGCAUAGCCGACCUGAGAGGGUGAUCGGCCACAUUGGAACUGAGACACGGCCCAGACUCCUACGGGAGGCAGCAGUAGGGAAUCUUCCGCAAUGGGCGAAAGCCUGACGGAGCAACGCCGCGUGAGUGAUGAAGGUCUUCGGAUCGUAAAACUCUGUUAUUAGGGAAGAACAUAGGUGGAAGUAAAAGUGCACAUCUUGACGGUACCUAAUCAGAAAGGGACGGCUAACUACGUG